GGAAUUUUGCGCAAUGGGCGAAAGCCUGACGCAGCAACGCCGCGUGGGGGAUGAAGGCCUUCGGGUUGUAAACCCCUUUCAGGAGGGAAGAACUUGACGGUACCUCCAGAAGAAGCACCGGCCCACUACGUGCCAGCAGCCGCGGAAAUACGUAGGGUGCGAGCGUGAUCCGGAAUCAUUGGGCGUAAAGAGCUCGUAGGCGGUUCAACAAGUCGGCUGUGAAAGUCCGGGGCUCAACCCCGGAAUUGCAGUCGAUACUGUUGUGACUUGAGUCCGGUAGAGGAGAAUGGAAUUCCCGGUGUAGCGGUGGAAUGCGCAGAUAUCGGGAGGAACACCAGUAGCGAAGGCGGUUCUCUGGGCCGGCACUGACGCUGAGGAGCGAAAGCGUGGGGAGCAAA
rnacentral:rRNA from 1 species